rnacentral:rRNA from 1 species
UACGUAGGGUGCGAGCGUUGUCCGGAAUUAUUGGGCGUAAAGAGCUCGUAGGCGGUGUGUCACGUCGGCCGUGAAAACCUGCAGCUUAACUGUGGGCGUGCGGUCGAUACGGGCAUCACUGGAGUUCGGCAGGGGAGACUGGAAUUCCUGGUGUAGCGGUGAAAUGCGCAGAUAUCAGGAGGAACACCGGUGGCGAAGGCGGGUCUCUGGGCCGAUACUGACGCUGAGGAGCGAAAAGCGUGGGGAGCAAACAGG